UACGUAGGGUGCAAGCGUUAAUCGGAAUUACUGGGCGUAAAGCGUGCGCAGGCGGUUUCGUAAGUCUGUCGUGAAAUCCCCGGGCUUAACCUGGGAACUGCAUUUGUGACUGCACGGCUAGAGUGUGUCAGAGGGGGGUAGAAUUCCACGUGUAGCAGUGAAAUGCGUAGAUAUGUGGAGGAAUACCGAUGGCGAAGGCAGCCCCCUGGGAUAACACUGACGCUCAUGCACGAAAGCGUGGGGAGCAAACAGG
rnacentral:rRNA from 1 species